GGAGGAGGGGAGGGACAGGCAGAGCCGGGGAGUUACGAAGAGAAUGAGGGGAGGCGGCCGUAAAGGGCAGAAGAAAGGACAACAACCGGGAUGGUCCGCGUGGGAUGGAAUGAUCACUGGGGCCCGGUGGAUGCGCUUUGUUCUGGGUGCGAUGGGAGCCUUCUCCCCUGAGGCCCCGGGCUGUGGAUGCGCUGGGUGCCCGGAGGAGCCGCUGCAGGACUGGACAGAGCCACGCUCCCUGGACGGAUAGGACGGGCCGAGGUUUUCUCUUUCCUGGGCUAGGGGCUUCAGCCUUUAGACCUUGAAGGAUUCUCAGAAAUCCAACGCCCGUUUUACAGAUAGGAAAAUGAAGACCUAGGCUAGCCCGAAACCACGGAAAGAGUAGGAAGCAGAAUUGGAACUCGGAUCCCGCAGGACUCAGCUUUCCUGCCCGGGCUCCUUAGUCCGUGCCCGCUGCUAACACUCCCUCGUGCUCAUGGGGGCCCGCAGGGAUGCCGUGUGUCAGCAGGACCUGGCGCGGGUGAGAGCACUCCGAAAGGCGGCGGGCCUGAGGGGUGGGAUGCGGACGGCUUUCCAGAACCCAAGCCAGCAUCUCCCCUGCCUGUCGGUGGAUGGGCGCUCUUGGUUCGGCGGAGCUCCUUCCCACUCGGAGCCUCCACGAGGGAUGUGCUCGUGCUGGCCCCGCGCUCGGGGGUUUCUAGCGGGACUCUGUCGGUUGGUUAGCGGGCCAUUGUUAACCCUCUUCCUGGGCUUUCCUGGCCCCAGAACUAGCCCGGAGCCUUGCGGAUGGCAGUGAGAGCUGGUAGGGCUUCCCACCCCUCCCCGAAUACCUGAUAACCCUGGCUCUAAGCGUCUUUGAUUCCGACACCCCACCCCUCCCCAGCCUCUCCCGCUCCCGGGUUUUCCCGCACAGGGUGAUGGGGCCAACUCCUCUUUGGAGAAGCAGAAACGGAGACCCUGUUAAGUACCUGAGGCAGGAUUCGAACUCAGGUCUUCUGACUGCCCACAGGAUAGGAUCACAGCAUUUUGAGCUGGAAGCGGAAGGAAACCUCUUUACUCAGCCGCUCUGGGCAGCCUACCGGGCUCCGAAACUCCCGAGGCAAAGCCGGAAGAACCUCUCCUUCCCUCCGUCCCACGGAAGGAGCUCCGACUAGGGGAAAGUCCUGAAGGGAGAAAUCUCCAAGGCAACGAGGAAUUUCAAACGGCCGAGGCUAUCCAGAUCAGCAUCGGCAUCUUUCAGUUGUUCUUGGGGAUCCUGUGGUUCUACCUCUACCUGACCCAGUUUGCAGACUCUUUUCUCACUUACAAGACCUUAAUUUGGAAUGCGAAAUACCCAUUAUUAUCAGCGUUUAUCUACACCUUUGCAGGACUCCUUACCAUCAUCACAGAGAAGAAACGCCAGCGUUUUCUGGCAAAGAUCACAGUGGGGAUAAACAUCAUUGGCAUCAUCUAUUCCGUCUAUGGACUGAUAACAUUAGUCAUUGAGUUUCUUAAUUACGAUUCUUACUUUCUGCAUAAAUAUUGGCCCGAGAACUCUGGAAAGUUACUUUCAAAUUAUUUGUUCAUCUACACUGUCUUGUUCAUCUUGGUCUCCUGGAUGGUCCUCAAGUGGAACCACAAGGCCGUCUAUUACUCCCCCCACUGAAUGUCUCCUUCCUCUCCGGCAACACAGCCCUGCCCUCCCAGACCCAUCUUAAAGAUGUCAAGGUCUGAGCCAAACUCCUUUGCUGCUCAGCUCUGGCUGAAGAAUCUGGGAAGGAGAGGACCUAGGGAUAACAGCAAGGAUUCCACCGAAGACCGUGCUCAGAUCUAAAAUGUUCCUUUUUGCAUGGUUUGGUAGCUUCACUGGUGUCUGUGGCUGGCCCCGACGUGGGGCUGGUAUCUCAUGCUUCCCAUUGUGUGCCCAAAAAGGCUCCCACCCUCUCCUCUCAGAAGGGUUCCUAUGGUGUGGGAAGGGGCCAUGGGAGCUUCAGCUCAGUCUUACUUGGAUGACUUGUUUACCAGAGCUUAGGGCAAUCAGAUGGCAGAGCAUCCAUUGAAAAGCCUAGAAAACCAGUAGGACCCCCAGUAAAGAAAGAAUGGGCAGUUGAGUAUGGAUGGCUAUUUGAAAAUGUCAACAAUGUCUUUUCUAAAUGUUUCUUUUUUCUGUUCAAUAAAAGUGAAAUGAAGAUA